AUAAAUUACACAGGGCAUGGUCCAACACAAGAUGUUGUUUGUAUCCUCGAUGGGCUUUACAUAUAUUGUUACUAAAACCUUCCUGUUUAUGAUAUCCAUCCAAAGGAUUGUGAGCUUGAAGUUUGUGGAGUUCAUUUGUUUUCCGCUAUUUCGACCAUAGUCAUCCUACAGUUUCAUCAAGGGCAAUUGAACACAAUAGUUAUGUGUAAACCAAAAUAAACAAAGUAGCUCUAAAUUUCAUAUGUUGAUUUCUGUCUGUGUUUGUGAGCCACAAUGAAAUAUAUAAGCCAUGUGACAACAUUCUGACCUCCUAUGCAACAUCAUAGAACAUUACUGCACCAUUCUCUGGCAAUUUAAGGUAAACUUGAAAGGAAGAAAGAAAUGCAAUUUAAGAAGUAUCAGCGUUGUAUUGAAGAACAGUAGCAUUCAGUAAAAUGAUUAAUUUUAAGAACGACAUGAACGACAAUUGUACUAAGG
rnacentral:lncRNA from 1 species